rnacentral:tRNA from 2 species
UGCGAGGUGGAGCAGUUCGGUAGCUCGCCGGGCUCAUAACCCGGAGGUCGCGGGUUCAAAUCCCGCCCUCGCAACCA